UAAGCGUAAGGGUGUUUGACAACUUGCUGACCGGGUCUGGUCAGCAAUUUUUUUUUUUUUCUGAUUGGGUCCGGUCAAUAUUUGUCUGACCCGGUCCUUAAAUACUGACUCACACUACUGAUUCGGUCCUUGAAAAAAUAUAGUUUGACCGAGACCAAAGAUUUCUUUUAUCUCCUUUACUACCCUUCUCCCUAUUGCCAACGUUUUCUCCCUUCAGAAUCUCACCUCGAUCAUUCAACAUCUCCUCCCACCUGGAUCCUUUGUUUUCUUUGUUGCCGUCGUCCAAACUCGCGUCGCCGUUCACCGCUUUCCAACGAUGCCCAACUUCGAUGGAACCCCUUCCUCAGCCAGACGUCGUGUACACUUCUCUCCUCCAUCUCCCUCCAUUCCAGCGACUUCCUCCGCCACUCUGUCUUUGAGCGUUACCACACCAGCGAUUAUCUCCGGCCACCAAACAUGAGCACCGCCACCCAACACCUUCUUUCUCCAGCGGUCGGAUGGCUUUCGUUUAUUAGUUUUGUGUUUUUGCACAAAUCAAUUUGGCUUGAGAUGGUUAUUUAGGGCUAGGGUUUGUGUUUUGUGUAGUGCGAAUUUCCAUAUCUCCAGUUGAAUGCUUUGUGCUCUUAUUAGAUUUUGUGCUAAUUAAAAUAUGUAUUCUAUAAUCCUCUUUAUAACGAAUAUUUUCUGAUUAAUAAAGCUCUUUGGAUGGGUUGACGCAAGAAGACACAA